rnacentral:rRNA from 1 species
GUAGGGGGCGAGCGUUGUCCGGAAUCAUUGGGCGUAAAGGGUGCGCAGGCGGCUCCUUAAGUUGGGAGUGAAAGGUCACGGCUCAACCGUGGAUAGGCUUUCAAAACUGGGGAGCUUGAGUGCAGGAGAGGGGAGCGGAACUCCAUGUGUAGCGGUGAAAUGCGUAGAGAUAUGGAGGAACACCAGUGGCGAAGGCGGCUCUCUGGCCUGUAACUGACGCUCAGGCACGAAAGCGUGGGGAGCAAACAGGAUUAGAUACCCUGGUAGUCCACGCCGUAAACGAUGAGUGCUAGGUGUCGGGAGGGACCACCUCUCGGUGCCGCCGUUCACACAAUAAGCACUCCGCCUGGGGAGUACGGCCGCAAGGUUG